AGAAACAUGGAACAUAUUACACAACCAAAAUAAAAUAAAACCAUUGCAGGUUUAUUGCUUUUAAUGUCAACAUAGAUUUACCAUGUUCUUUGUCAUAGUUAAAAAUCUCUGGCCAUUUACAUAUAUUUUCAAUGGGAUUUGAGUUGAAAGUUUAUGCUUUGGUGGAACACCUAAAUUCUAUUCAGUAAAUUUAUGUGAUUGUCCCUUGCAAAUAAAACACUAACCAUGCCAAUGGGCUUUAUAUUGUGAAUUAGCUCCACUUAAAAUUGAUCAUGUGUCAGUAUUAAAGAUAUGCAAAAUCAUUACAUUCACCAAUGUUUGUUGGUUCAUCGGCUGUAUAUGUGUUUAUAGAAUAACACGACAGAAAUUGGUGCAAAGCAACAUGUCUUUCCACAUUAUCUUAGAGGUGAAAUUACUUUUACUUCACUUCUUCAUAAUGUGUACUAUAAGUGAAACACCACACAUUUUAAGUGACAUGAAAUUUAGAAUUUUUAAUCUCAUAUUCUCUAAAGCAUUAAUUGUGACUUUUCAAUGUUGCAAGAUAAGGGAUUUUUUGUGGUCGUGGGUAGACUUUUUAUACUUUGUUUUAUAGAUGGAUUUUUUUAAAACAAAAUUGUAGUUUAAGUCACCAGGCAGCA